rnacentral:rRNA from 1 species
AGCGAACGCUGGCGGCGUGCUUAACACAUGCAAGUCGCGGGAGAAUGGAGGGCUUCGGCUCUCCUAGUAAACCGGCGCACGGGUGAGUAACACGUAGGUAACCUACCCUAGAGACCGGGAUAACCUAUCGAAAGAUUGGCUAAUACCGGAUAAGACCACGAGGGUCUCGGCCCUUGGGGUAAAAGGUGGCCUCUGCUUGCAAGCUACCACUCGAGGAUGGGCCUGCGGGCCAUUAGCUAGUUGGUGAGGUAACGGCUCACCAAGGCGACGAUGGCUAGCUGGUCUGAGAGGAUGAUCAGCCACACUGGGACUGAGACACGGCCCAGACUCCUACGGGAGGCAGCAGUGGGGAAUAUUGCGCAAUGGGGGAAACCCUGACGCAGCGACGCCGCGUGGGUGAUGAAGGCCUUCGGGUCGUAAAGCCCUGUCGAGGGGGAAGAAGGAUUGUCGUGCAAAUAGUGCGACGGUUUGACGGUACCCCUAAAGGAAGCACCGGCUAACUCCGUGCCAGCAGCCGCGGUAAUACGGAGGGUGCAAGCGUUGCUCGGAAUCACUGGGCGUAAAGGGCGUGUAGGCGGCUUCGUAUGUCUGACGUGAAAGCCCCGGGCUUACCCCGGGAAGUGCGUUGGAAACUGCGAGACUAGAGUCCCGGAGAGGAAGGUGGAAUUCCAGGUGUAGCGGUGAAAUGCGCAGAUAUCUGGAAGAACACCGGUGGCGAAGGCGGCCUUCUGGACGGUGACUGACGCUGAGACGCGAAAGCGUGGGGAGCAAACAGGAUUAGAUACCCUGGUAGUCCACGCCAUAAACGAUGAGCACUAGGUGUCGCGGGUAUUGACCCCUGCGGUGCCGCAGCUAACGCAUUAAGUGCUCCGCCUGGGGAAUACGGCCGCAAGGCUA